rnacentral:rRNA from 1 species
GAUGAACGCUAGCGGCAGGCUUAACACAUGCAAGUCGAGGGGUAUAGUUCUUCGGAACUAGAGACCGGCGCACGGGUGCGUAACGCGUAUGUAAUCUACCUUUUACAGGGGGUUAGCCCAGAGAAAUUUGGAUUAAUACCCCAUAGUAUGUUGUGGUGGCAUCACUAUAACAUUAAAGUUCCAACGGUAAAAGAUGAGCAUGCGUCCCAUUAGCUAGAUGGUAAGGUAACGGCUUACCAUGGCUACGAUGGGUAGGGGUCCUGAGACGGAGGGACCCCACACGGGCACAGGGACACGUACCAGGCUUCUAGGCGAGGCAGCGUUGAGGAAUAUGGGACAAGGGGCGGAACCCGGAUCCAACCAUGCCGCGUGCAGGAUGACGGUCCGAUAGAUUGUACACCGCAUUGGUGCAGGAGGAAACACGCCCUCGUGAGGGAGCUUGGCGGUACGGUAAGAGUAAGGGUCGGCUAACUGCGUGCCAGCCGCCGCGGUAA